UUGCGCGUCAUGUUCUUCACCUUAAGUGGUCUCUUUCGCUUUUUUUAAACCUAAAAUCGUUCAUCCCUUUUCGACUUCCAUUUCUCUUCUCUGUAGAUCCGUUUCGUUUGGGCCUUUAAUAGAAGGAAAGUUACUAUGCCUGUGGUUAAUCACUUAAAGCUUGGAACUAAAGGAAUUUUAAUAGAAGGUGGAAACGUUACUAUGCCUGUGGAGUUUCAAGCGACUGCGACUUUACGUUCUCCUCUCCGUUGUGAUUUUGUGAUCGUUGAUCGGCUUUAGGCUCUCCUCUCCGUAAUGGCUCAUUGAUUCAUACAACAAAAAUGAUCUUGAGACUCCUUGAGCUCGAAGCUCCCAUCAAAUCUACGAUGAUAUUCAUGGACAAUACUCGGGUCUGUUGAGGCUGUUUAAAUACGUAGGCUUCGCUCCUGCAGCUAACUAUUUAUUCUUAGGAGAUUAAGUGGACGAAAGGUAGCAGAGUUUGGAGAUGAUCUGUCUUCUACUUGCCUACAAAAUCAAAUACCCGAGAAUAUUUUCCUUCUAAGAGGAAACAACGAACGAGCUUCCAUCAGGCAUCAACAGAAUCUACGGAUUCUAUGAUGGAUCCAACUGCUGUUUCAGUGUGGGGCUCUGGAAACUGUUCUCAGUUUCUUUUAAAUGCCUCACGUAGCUGCUGCAAUAGUGAUAAAAUAUUAUGCAUGCAUUUCUUUCCAUGAUUUGACAACCGUGGAACAUAUUACAAACAUUAAGCAACCUACUGAUGUUCCAGACUCUACUAAGCUCUGUGAUCUGCUUUGGUCUGAUCAAGCAAAGAUGUUUACGUACGGUUGUUGAGGAUGGUUGUGACAUUUUCCUGAUCGACAGCUUCAUGCUAUUAUAUUUUCUGCUCCUAACUACUGUGGUGACUUUGACAAUGCUGGUGCAAUGACAAGUGUUGAUGAAAGUUAAAUGAACUCUUUCCAGGUGCUUAAGCAUGUGGAUUGGAGGCCCUGGUUCUUAUGAUGAAAAGAGAGUUCACUAUGUAUAGUAAAAAGAAUAAGCAAACAUGACUGAAAAAUCUCAGGAGUUACUCGCAUCACAAGUAACCAUCGGCGAAUGAUUACAGAUGUAGCCAAUCAAACAGGAUCCAUAAAAACAAAGGAGGCAGAGCACAAUGUAAAAGAUACACGAGCACUGCUUUAGUAAUUGCCGAAUAGAUCAACUCCUUAUUAACAUCAUUACUUCUUUUUUCCUGCAGAAAUAUAGCAUUUUUAAAAUGAACUAGGUGAGUUGCAUAAUGUAGUAAAGGAAGGGCCAUCUAGAAAAUAGACAAUGCUACUACAGAUACGCUACUUCUAAGAGAAAAUAAAUAAUUACUCCAAAUGCAAGACACGUUAAUUUACACAAAUAGCAAAAAAUUAUAGACUCCACAAGUGAACUAAUUCCUUGAAAAAUGAAAUAAAUAAUUACUCCAAAUGUCAGACACAUUUACACAAAUCUCAUGAAUUUAUCGACUCUAUAAGUAACAAAUAGACACCAUGAUCAGUAAAAUUAUCCCAAGAAAAACAAGGACAGCCGACAGAGAACAAGGCAACAGAUUCUCACAAGCAGUUGUUAGUAACUUGCCAAAUAAAAUCCAGUUGUAACCAAGAAUUCCUUUCGAUUAGAGAGAAUGAACUUUAAAUAAAUGCUUUUUAUUCCAAUAAAUCUGUAGAAAAUAGAAGUUAUGACACGAAUUCUAUAAAAAUCCUGACAUGGAAAAUAUAUUUUCGUACAGUUUAAAUGGUAUAUGCAAUAAAAACACAUAAGCAAAUACUGUAUACGAAACUAAAUAAUCUAAACAAAAUUAAAAAAUUAUAUGCAGCCAAAAUAAAAAUAGUGCAUAUUUCCAUUGAAACCACUUCAACAAUCGUAUUAAAAAUUAGCUAAGCAAGACUAAAGUUGAAUACUCUAGCAUCAAACAAAUUUAAUCGAAGAAAAUAAUUAAAUAUAAAAAUCGGAAUCAGAAAAAAAAAAUCCAUACAUACUAUAUAAUCAACACCAAAUAUAAUGUUUCUGGUUAUUAAUAAAAUAAAGAGCUCAUGUCAAAACCGACUAUUAAGUAUUAACAGUACUGACUUUAGAGAUGUCAAUGUCAAUCAUGGACCUGGACCGCGGGUCUGGCCCGUAAAGAACUGUCGCGGGACGGGAUUGGACCGAGAUUUUACAGACCCGCAAAUUAGCGGGCUUUGCGGGACGAGUCUUUGCGGGACUGGGUCUUUUGCGGGAUGGGACGAUGCGGGUCUGCGGGAUUACAAAGACCCGCAUUUUUUCCUCUUCAAUUCUUGUUUUACUUCAAAAAAAAAUAAAAAAGAGUGAAAAAGGUAAUUUAUAUGACUUUCCUCUGAAAAAAGAAAAAAGCUUCAGCAAUGAUGAUUCGAGCUCCGACGAUGAUGUUUUGAGCUCCAUUAGUGUUUUAAUUUGGUGUUUUUUAAUUAAUUUUGGGAUUAGCAGCUUAGUUUUGGUGUUUGAUUAUAUUUAGUUUUUAUUCAUUAAAACUAAAAAAAUUGGUUAUGAACUUAGGAGUUAUAAGCUAAUGAAAAACAUAUUCUGAAAUUAUCUUUAAUUGGUAUGUAAAUAUAUUUGAGUGUGACAAAAUUAACUAUAACUAUUUUAUUUGGUUAAGAUAACAUGAACAAGACUAAGCUCUGAUCAAAGCGGUAACGAGAAUAAGCUAUGGUUAGAGCUUUGAUCGACUAAGCUAUUUAAUUCUAU